GUCACUCGGUGUUCUCACCGAAAGCACGUAAUCGCCGGUGUAACUCAUGUUGGCUGGGGGGCCUCCCGGCGCGCGGCGAGGCUGGGGUGCGCCCCC
ensembl:misc_RNA